AUUUGUGAAAGAGAGCAUUCCUGUUGAAGUGCAAGAGAUGAAGACAUUGAGAGAUAGUGCUGGAUGUGGCUCGCAUGAGGAGUACUUACGUAGCAUUAUGAAGCCGUGGGUUUAAUACUCAGAGCUACCUGAACCAGGAUGGGGUAAAGUACAUUCCUGCAAUGCUGGUGGUUUGGAGAUGGAAGUAGGAGGAUCAGACAUUCAAAGUCAUCCGUGGGAACACGGUGGCCAGCUCUGCCAAGAGAGAUGCUUGGAAGUGAGUAUUCUGCUAGCAGCCUUCAGUUGAAGAUGUAGAACAUUCAGCUCCUCCUGUGCCAUGCCUACCUGGACAACGUCAUGCUCCUGCCUUGAUGAUAAUGGACUGAACCUCUGAACCGAUGACGCUAGUUCAUGCUAAGUUGACAAAACUCUACCUUGGUGAAUGUUGGUCUGUGCUCCCAUUGUUUUGGGUAGUGAUGGAAGAGGCUGCUGUCUGAAACACCUUAGGGACUGUCCUUCAGAAGGGGUAAUCGUCUCAUCAAGCUGUCCAGAAAGCAAAGUCCAUAUCCUAGCAGCCUUCAGAUGAACACCUAGAAUUCUCCUGCACCAUGCCUGCCUGGAUGUUGCCAUGUUCCUGCUUUGAUGAUAAUGAACCGCUGAACCGCCUUGUAGGAGAAAAUAAAAAUCCCCAAGGAUCACAAGGUAUCAGAGCUAGAGGUGGUCUGCUGGAAACCUCCUUACUGAUGGAGCGAUGAGACUGGGUACAAGAAAGACUGACCUUGGAGUGUAGGAGCCUGGCUGGGGCUGCCCUCAAGAAGUGGCCGUCUGAAGACAAAGCACAUUCCCUCCUCCUCUGACAGGAUCAGAAGGGCACUCAGGUCACCCCAAAUGUCCUAGGUUAGAUAUAAACUGAAGUUCAUGCAAUUGCCAUGUGGAUGUGG
rnacentral:lncRNA from 1 species